rnacentral:rRNA from 1 species
GACGAACGCUGGCGGCGUGCUUAACACAUGCAAGUCGAACGGAAAGGCCCUGCUUUUGUGGGGUGCUCGAGUGGCGAGCGGGUGAGUAACACGUGAGUAACCUGCCCUUGACUUUGGGAUAACUUCAGGAAACUGGGGCUAAUACCGGAUAGGAGCUCCUGCUGCAUGGUGGGGGUUGGAAAGUUUCGGCGGUUGGGGAUGGACUCGCGGCUUAUCAGCUUGUUGGUGGGGUAGUGGCUUACCAAGGCUUUGACGGGUAGCCGGCCUGAGAGGGUGACCGGCCACAUUGGGACUGAGAUACGGCCCAGACUCAUACGGGAGGCAGCAGUGGGGAAUAUUGCACAAGGGGCGGAAGCCUGAUGCAGCAACGCCGCGUGCGGGAUGACGGCAUUCGGGUUGUAAACAGAUUUCGCUUGUGACGAAGCGUGAGUGACGGAAAUGGGUAAAGAAGCACCGGCUACCUACGU